UGGGGAAUAUUGGACAAUGGGCGAAAGCCUGAUCCAGCCAUGCCGCGUGUGUGAAGAAGGUCUUCGGAUUGUAAAGCACUUUAAGUUGGGAGGAAGGGCAGUAAGCGAAUACCUUGCUGUUUUGACGUUACCGACAGAAUAAGCACCGGCUAACUCUGUGCCAGCAGCCGCGGUAAUACAGAGGAUGCAAGCGUUAAUCGGAAUUACUGGGCGUAAAGCGCGCGUAGGUGGUUCGUUAAGUUGAAUGUGAAAGCCCCGGGCUCAACCUGGGAACUGCAUCCAAAACUGGCGAGCUAGAGUAGGGCAGAGGGUGGUGGAAUUUCCUGUGUAGCGGGGAAAUGCGUAGAUAUAGGAAGGAACACCAGUGGCGAAGGCGACCACCUGGGCUCAUACUGACACUGAGGUGCGAAAGCGUGGGGAGCAAACAGG
rnacentral:rRNA from 1 species